CGCUUUAGGAGCCACACUGGCUGGCCAUUAAGGGUUGUGAUGAAAAAUCCCAGGAAGCUGAAGAGUGAACAUGAUCAUAAUCUCUAAAAUGUGAAACCAACAAAUGCUGUCAGAGCCACAAGGAUAUGAGCGACCCACAGCUUCCCCAGGAGAAGGGACGAUGGCAUCUAUGUGCACAUACUGCUCGGCUGGCUCCUGGAACCUGGCCCAUUCCACAUGAACUAAAGAGGCUGAGCAGUCCCAAGAUCUGCAGUUCGAAGGCUGAGAACCAGAAGAGCCAAUGGUACAAGUUCCAGUCCAAGUUCCAAGGCAGGAGAUCAGUAUUCCAGCUCCAGGACCACAGGACGUUUGUUAGAACUAGGAAACCAGCAUUGGUCCAAGCCUGUUAACUCCAAGCAUUGUUUGAAUUUCACAAGUUUUUAAGUUACCAUCCCUUUCCUGUUCCAGGAU